AGUGAACGCUGGCGGUAGGCCUAACACAUGCAAGUCGAACGGCAGCACAGUAAGAGUUUGCUCUUACGGGUGGCGAGUCGCGGACGGGUGUGGCAUACAUCUGAAUCUACUUUUUCGUGGGGGUUAACGUAGGGAAACUUACUCUAUUACCUCAUUCCACUUUCGGUUGCAAGCGGUGGAUCUUCGGACCUUUCGCGGUUUAUUGAUCCGGUGUCGGAUUAGCUGCUUGGCGGGGGAAUGGCCCAUCACGGCGACGUUCCGUAGCAGGUCUGAGGGGAUGAGCAGCGACAGUGGAACUGAGACACGGUCCAGACUCCUACGGGAGGCAGCAGUGGGGAAUAGUGGACAAUGGGCGCAAGCCUGAUCCAGCCAUACCGCGUGGGUGAAGAAGGCCUUCGGGUUGUAAAGCCCUUUUGUUGGGAAAGAAAAGCAGCAGGGUAAUACACCGCUGUUCUGACGGGACCCAAAGGAUAAGCGCCGGCUAACUUCGUG
rnacentral:rRNA from 1 species